GUACAUAUAGCUCAGUGGUAGAGUGCAUGCUUAGCGUGUAUGAGGUCCUGAGUUUAAUCCCUAGUACCUCCA
rnacentral:tRNA from 1 species